UACGUAGGGCGCAAGCGUUGUCCGGAAUUAUUGGGCCUAAAGCAUCCGUAGCCGGUUUUACAAGUCCUCCGUUAAAUCCAGCUGCUUAACAGAUGGGCUGCGGAGGAUACUAUAAGACUAGGAGGCAGGAGAGGCAAGCGGUACUCAGUGGGUAGGGGUAAAAUCCGUUGAUCCAUUGAAGACCACCAGUGGCGAAGGCGGCUUGCCAGAAUGCGCUCGACGGUGAGGGAUGAAAGCUGGGGGAGCAAACCGG
rnacentral:rRNA from 1 species